rnacentral:ncRNA from 1 species
AUUAUUUUCAAGAAUCGUUUGUACCGAGCCUUUACCGAAACUUUGCUGCCCUAAAAUCACCGCACGCUUAUGAUCUUGCAAAGCACCCGCAACAAUUUCAGAGGCGGACGCCGAACCCCCAUUUAUCAACACAACGAUGGGCGCACCUUUAAGGAUAUCAUUGGGGCCUGCUUUAAAACUCAUCUUGGCAUGCUCAACCCGACCUUCUGUGUAAACAAUUAAACCUGAAUCUAAAAACGAAUCGCUGACUGACACUGCUGCAUUUAAAAGCCCACCCGGGUUAUUUCGUAA